rnacentral:lncRNA from 1 species
CGUUUAGGAAGUUGUACGCAUACCCAACUGAAGCUUUCUUCCCUUCUCCAGUGGAGUGCACCUGUGCACAGAAACUCUCUCUGUACCAUGUACCUGCUGCCAGAAGCUGGGAAGGAGUGGUGCUGGUGAUUCAAAACUGAUUUUCCUGCCUCUUCGAUGCCUCUUUUAGUGACAUACAGUUAAGACCAGGCACUCAUGAUUUUGCCUCUGAGUGGAUAUCAACAGGAAAUAGUUCCUGUAUCAUCAACAGAACAAGCAGCUGGACUGAGGAAACAAAAACACAAAGUCCAAAAUAGUGAUAUUGGCAGGGUAGACAUUACACGCAGGAUACCGGAAGGCCAGUCAGACCAUGAGGGCUUGUGCUGCAACCCCUAAGAAAGUCACUAAUGAUAAGGAGCAGAAGAAGAAAAAGAGUUUUUCCUUUAUCCCUUCCUGGUCCAGCUGUGUAUUUUUCACAUGAGAAGAUGGAAAACCUCUCCUCAUCCUAAUAUAACCCAUCUGUUAGUAGCAGAACCUCAGAGGCAUUAGAAACAGUUCUCUUUUCUGUUCAAAAUAUUCACAGUCCUUGAAUCAUCUGCAUGUUAAACAAUAUUCUAAGCAAAAUCCACACCACUUGAAUAAUUGUACAGACUUGUAAAAGAUCUACCUAGAAACUUGUGGCUUAUAUCAUGUAUGAAGUCUGAUAAGGUUGUUCGUUAAAAAAUCGUAUCACCUUAUCGUCACAUAUUGCUUAUUGUUGAUAAAAAGGAAGAAGCAAUGCCUCUUGUUUUUA